ACUGAUACGUGUCUCGCAUUUAAUUUAUUUCUUCUGGACACCGCUAUUAUCCUCCAUUCAGUUUCUUACACAUAGCGCUAUGUUUCCCACCGCCUUUCUCUCAUCUAUACCUCCUCCUAUCCAUUGCCGACUCCUUCUUCCCUGUCUUCUACUCGACGUGUUCUCUUUAGAAAUUGAUUCACCAAAUCAGCUUUCCUCAGCGUCAAUCCCUUAACCAUAAGUCGUAAGGACUUAAUGUUUUUGAUUUAUAACUUAUUUCUGUACGCAAUGUCCAUUUACCCAGUCAAUUCAUGUUUUUUCUGCUAAACUGUUGCUGAUAAACACGCCACUAUCAUCCGACUAAGAGCGAUGACGGAAUCAUCAAGAUGAUUGAUCGCAUUUGUUGAUGACUUCAUUGGAGUUUCCUAUGGACAAAGACUACAAUCGAAGGGGCAACACAACCAUCUUCCUAGGGCCGGCCCAAGCGUAGGGCGACCUGGGCCACCGCCCAGGGCAUCACAAUGAAGGGGGCAUGAAAUUUGAAGGGUAUAGAAGGCGGCAAAACGCAGCUCAACAAUCAUGCCAAAAAAAUUAGAAAAUGAAGAGUCGAUCACGUGGAAUAAUCAAGCCUAAAUAAGAAAUCGAUUGCCUUGAGUCUUGCAAGCAACGAUGAGUUUUUUUAAGAAUCUACUUUUUUGUUUUCUUCUUUCAUUAUUUAAAGUUUAAAUCAAAAUCUGUAAUUCCUAAACUCCGAAAUCUGAAAUUCUACAUCCGAAAUAGUAACCAAAAUCUUAUUCUUUGCGUUUUGAUUCUUUUCUUUCGAGAAUUCUAAAUGUAUAUUUGUCAAAUGGAUUUGUAUGGUUUGCCUUAGUUUGUGGAAUAUGGAAAUAGGAAUCCCUGUAAAUUUUAUGAUUUUUGCAUUUUAUAAAUAGAGCGUAAACUGGACGGUUUUGCCCUUAAUUUGAGUUUGGUUGUGCAUUUUCUCUUGAGCUGCUGAUGUGUAACAUACUUUUGAUCCAUGUUUGGACAAUUUUGCCCCUGAAGAUGGUAAUUGAAAUUUCAAGUGGAGCUGGAUGUUGUUUGUAAUCUUGAUGAUCUCUUAUGUGAAGUAAGUUGUUAUGAUUCAACCAGAGGUUGUAUAAUUUAUCGACUCCGAAACAAUGAUCAAGGUUUUUAACUUCAUUAUUUAUUAUUUCAUAUCAUCAAAAUAGAUUGCUUCUAAAGAAUCUAGGUUUAUAACUUCAUCAUUUAGGAUACAUGUACUAAUGUACAAAGAAUUAUGUACUUUGGAUGCUCAAAAAUCAACAUCGACUGACUCUUUUUAGAUGAUUGUGAUACAGAUGAUGACACCAUUGGAAAUUAUAAAUGUCGUUAAUGGAUCGAAUUCUACACCAAAAGAAAAAAGCAGUUGUUUGUUGGUGGUCUGGAUAUCAACAUUGCAGCUUAUGACAGGUAAAGUUGUACCUUUUUUGUAUUCAUCUACUUAUUUUACUUAGGUGUUGUGAAAUUUGUUUACUUUGUUAGCUCAGUUGUUAUUUGGGACUUAGUUUUGUAUACAAAGUCAUCUUUUCCCCCUGCAUACUAGCAACUAUUCUUGAACAGAUUUCACAAAGUGCUUUAAGCAUUUGAUUUCGUUUAUCUGAGAGUUGAGAUAUAUAAAAUAUAGGAGCUUGGGAAAAGGUUCUUAAUAUUGGAAAUGUAAUUCAACUUCCAACAAUUAAAAAUAUUUGGUUCGACUUUCUGUGAAUAAUCAUAUUAACCUAAAACAGGGAAGAAGAAUGGUUGGGAUCUGAAGAGACAGUUUUGAUAUAAGUUUUCCCAUGUUUGCAGAAGAAAAAAACAAAAUCUAAAUUAUAACUAUAUAGAACACUGAAAUGACAAAAGCUGCAAAAACAUGGUAAUAUCAAUAAAGGUAAAGUGAGAACUAACAAUUUCUGUAGUUAUCUUUUUUAAUUUUGGUGUUCUUUGUUGUAAAACAAUUUUCGUUUCUGAUUUGUAUAAUUGAAAGAUUCCUGCAGCUGAAUAAGGGAAGGGAGGGGACUGUAGUUAAAAUAUUCAUGCCUAAUUUAAAUCAUUAUUGUUUUCUUUUUUUUUUUGUUGUCCUUAUGUUCCGCUAAGAAUUCAUAUUACAACUAAUUUUAUUAUUUGUUUUCCAUAUUUAUUUACUUAUUUUUAAAUGUUUCAAUCGACAGGAUGAGGUUGAAAAAUGGUUGUCACAGCAUUGCUUUGUUUGGUUUUGUCUUUUGUGCGUAUAGGUGGUGGCAAAUGUUCAGUUUUAUUGGCAUGAUUAUUGAACGACAGAUCUUCAAGACUUCACCUUUGUGUAUUCACAACACUGCACUUGAUUGGUAUAGAUGUUGACUCGAGGUGAGUCUGUCAAAACCUUUGUUCAACUCUCAUACAUGAAAUCUGUGGUAAAAUAACUUAUGUUAGUGUUGACCUUUUCUUCAAUGUCCAACCAUUCUUUAAAGAUAUUCACAACAAUAGCUAUAAUGAAAAAAUGUUUGCUAUCUCUAAUGCAUAAUAUCUUUGGAAUUUACUUUUGAAUCCUCAUAUAUGUUGAAAUAACAUGAAGAUAAAUUAUAAAUUUAUAGCUUACCAAAAUGUAGAUGGGCAUGCUUUUAUAGUCAUUUAAUUGUUAGUUUAACCAAUGUAAGAGUUCAAAAUUUACUUUCUUUUUUUGUCAAUAUGAUAGGUUUUUCAGGAAUCCUUUAAAGGUGAUUUUUUUUUCUCAUUAAAUGAUUGUUGAUGGCGAGUUUAAUUUAAAUUUGGUAAUCAUGACAGGGAAUUUUGACUACAUUGUCACAUAGUAAUGGAGGUACAAAUAUGACUUUAUGCAACUAUUCCUUUUCUUGUAGAAAUCUUCAAGCUUAUUUUAUCCAACAUUUUCCUAUGGAGAGAUUAUAAGAAAUCACCUCCUCUUAGAAUGACAAGAGAAUGGAAGAUUCCCAGAUGCAACUGUUUCAAGGAAAGUAUAUUGUUGUUUUGGUAUGAAAAAGCAUAUAUAUUGUUUUGCUUUGUUUUGUUUUAUUUUUUGUUUUGUUUUUUUUUUUUUGUAAAAGGAGCAAGUAUUAUGUUUUGUGCUGUUUAAUGCAGUACAUGAUGUACCAACUUUGUAAGGGCGUUGCUUUCUGCCAUGCUCAAAAAAAAAUUGAUUUCUUUUCUCAUUUGUUUCAGGGAUCUUAAGCCCCACAAUCUUUUCAUGGAUAAAAAGACAUUGAUACUUCAAAUAGCAGACUAAUUAUUUUGUUGAUUUUUUUAUCAGGAUAUGCAUGUGCGGUUAGGAGAACAAAGUCAUGGUUAUUUUGUUCAAGAAAAGGAAGAUGCAUUAGUUGCAAAAGGAUGAAGAGUAACUGUACUUGCUGAUAUUUUAUGUUUUGUUUUAUUGAUUAAAACUAUAAAACUUCCAUUUCUUUGAUUUUAUUUUAAUGAUUUAAAAUUUAUAAUUA